rnacentral:rRNA from 1 species
UACGGAGGGGGCGAGUGUUGUUCGGAAUUACUGGGCGUAAAGGGCGCGCAGGCGGCUUGGCAAGUCAAGUGUGAAAUCCCUCAGCUUAACUGAGGAAUUGCGCUUGAAACUACCUCGCUAGAGGGUGGGAGAGGGAAGUGGAACUCUCGGUGUAGGGGUGAAAUCUGUAGAUAUCGAGAGGAACACCGGUGGCGAAGGCGGCUUCCUGGCCCACAUCUGACGCUGAGGCGCGAAAGCGUGGGGAGCAAACAGG